AUUCGGUCCACCAGAAGCACCAACAUUUUGGCCAGCUGGAAACCAAUUUUGACCAAAUUGAACUUGAUUUUGACUGAAUGGAUAGGUAAACCUCAUUCUUUGCGCAGAAGACCCCCAUAUUUAGAAGCAAAAUUUCGUUGCAGUGUAGGAGCAAUGGAUGGAGCAGACAAUCCCAAUACUGGCGGCGAACGCGACAACCUAGGAGUAGACUGAUCUGUCAACUCGUCAAAGUCACGAUUAAACCGGUAAAAACACCGUUGAGCAAUAUGUCCGUACCGACUGUAGAUCUAGCAUUGAAUGCGCGGCCAAAACCUUUUCCCACGGCCACUGGAUGGAGGGCGACCACCACAAACUGACCUUGCCGAAACCUGCGACAGAUCUCCUUCUACAAGAUUAGCUUGCAUGGCCACCUCCUGAACCGCUCGUAGCUGACGGUUCUCACAUUCAAGCAAAGCCUCAACUAAUCGUUGGAACGGCAUCGGCUCCGAUGAAAGAGAUGCCGAGGAAACAACAGUAUCAAACUCAUAUGGUAAACCUGCAAGCAUGACCUAAGUCUUCUCCGCCUCUGGAAUUCUCGUGCCAGAAGCUUCCAAAAGAGCACACAAAUUUUUAAUACGAGCCACAUAAUUCUUGACAGAAAGAGUACCUUUCUUUAGCGAGUGUAACUCGUGAUGAGUCCAGGACUACUUAGCACCAGUGUUGGCCACAAAGAGACUCAUCGCUGUGUUUCACACAUCGCAGGCCGAUCGAGCAUUCGUGGAGGAAAAAAAACACGAGGUACUAAUCGUGGAUAGGAGCCACGAGGUAAGCAACUGAUCUUGUUGCUCAAACACCAGUGCAGACGGAUUAGCAACGAGGGAACCGUCUGAUGAUUGAACGAAGCAUGACGGCUGAGGUGCCUUUAUCAAGUUUCGCAACGUCAUGCCGAGGGAAAGAAGUCACCACUCUAUCGCCACUAAAGGCUACGCAACCACCAUCAACAGAGGCAGAGUCGAUGGAGUUCGUGGUAGCCAUAGGACUGAGGAUCACCCAGCGACUGAUACCAUGAAGAAACUUAGGUAAACUUAGAUUCAAGAGAAGCAAAGACUAAGCUGCUAUGAAGAAAAAUCAAUUAUGUAUUUAGACUUCAAAACUUGUUUCUGUAUAUUUUGAGCAUAAUAUUUUUAGAUAGCUAAGCAAUAACUCUUCUUAACAACUUUGAUAACAGACUUAGCCAAAUGCUAACCACUUUGGAUAACAAUAUUAGUGUUGCUUAACACAUAA